rnacentral:rRNA from 1 species
GGAUCUCGAAAGCCUGUCCCAGUUCGGACUGGAGUCUGCAACCCGACUCCACGAAGUUGGAUUCGCUAGUAAUCGCGCAUCAGCCAUGGCGCGGUGAAUACGUUCCCGGGCCUUGUACACACCGCCCGUCAAGCCAUGGGAGCCGGGGGCGCCUGAAGUCCGGGACCGCGAGGACCGGCCUAGGGCGAAACUGGUAACUGGGGCUAAGUCGUAACAAGGUAUC